GUAGGGGGCAGGCGUUGUCCGGAUUUACUGGGCGUAAAGAGCGCGUAGGCGGAAUGGUAAGCGGGGCCGGAAAGCCCCCGGCUCAACCGGGGAAGGGGCCGCGAACUGCCAUUCUUGAGGGGGAGAGGGGAGAGCGGAAUUCCUGGUGUAGCGGUGAAAUGCGUAGAGAUCAGGAGGAACACCAAUGGCGAAGGCAGCUCUCUGGCUUCACCCUGACGCUGAGGCGCGAAAGCGUGGGGAGCGAACGGGAUUAGAUACCCCGGUAGUCCACGCCGUAAACGAUGAUCACUAGGCGUUGGUGGUAUCGACCCCACCAGUGCCGCAGCUAACGCAAUAAGUGAUCCGCCUGGGGAGUACGGCCGCAAGGUUG
rnacentral:rRNA from 1 species